GAAGCAUGGCAGCUAUCCCUUCCAGCGGCUCGCUCGUGGCUACCCAUGACUACUAUCGGCGACGUCUGGGCUCCUCGUCCAGCAACAGCUCCGGCGGAAGUGCAGAGUACCCGGGGGACGCCGUGCCCCACUCCCCGGGUGAGUGCAGAACCAGACCGCAGAAAGGCAGAGUUCACGUCCUAAGGCGGGAGUCUUCCCAAAGCUGACUCGGGCCACUGGUGGGCCAGCUUCUUUUUCGGGAAAUCCACCCUCCCAUUCAUGGCCGCAGUGUUGGAGUCUCCUGAGCACUCGGCAGAAUCCCCCCAGGCCUCCAGAAGCCCGAUCUCCUGUGGCCUGGCUCCUGAAACCAUGAAGAAGCAGCCAGUCAUGCAUCCUAGCCAGACCAACAGCAGGGCCCCGUCCUGACCUGUCAGAAUCAGCAGACUGCCCAAGUUUAAGUGGUGCUAGACCAGAGCCCACCCUCUCAACCCUCCCUGUAAACUAGGAAGGCUAAACAGACAUGAGCAGGAGCUGGAGAGAGCCUAUUAGUUUACAGCACUGAGCUUUCCUGACCCCAUAACUGUGUCUUCCACAAAGCAGAAAAUAAACUCACAGCAGCCAUC
rnacentral:lncRNA from 1 species